ACCCAGCUGAUGAGUCUCGAAUACGACGAUACGCGCUUCCUGGAU
rnacentral:hammerhead_ribozyme from 1 species